rnacentral:rRNA from 1 species
UACGUAGGCAGCGAGCGUUGUUCGGAGUUACUGGGCGUAAAGGGUGUGUAGGCGGCCUGUUAAGUUUGGUGUGAAAUCUCCCGGCUUAACUGGGAGGGUGCGCCGAAUACUGAAUAACUCGAGUGCGGGAGAGGAAAGUGGAAUUCCUGGUGUAGCGGUGAAAUGCGUAGAUAUCAGGAGGAACACCGGUGGUGUAGACGGCUUUCUGGACCGUAACUGACGCUGAGACACGAAAGCGUGGGUAGCAAACAGG